rnacentral:rRNA from 1 species
UAUACAGCGAAACUGCGAACGGCUCAUUAUAUAAGUUAUCGUUUAUUUGAUAGCACCUUACUACUUGGGUAACCGUGGUAAUUCUAGAGCUAAUACAUGCUGAAAAUCCCGACUUCGGAAGGGAUGUGUUUAUUAGAUUCAAAGCCAACGCCCCUCGGGGCUCACUGGUGAUUCAUGAUAACCUCUCGAAUCGCACGGCCUUGCGCCGGCGAUGGUUCAUUCAAAUUUCUUCCCUAUCAACUUUCGAUGUUUGGGUAGUGGCCAAACAUGGUUGCAACGGGUAACGGAGGGUUAGGGCUCGACCCCGGAGAAGGAGCGUGAGAAACGGCUACUACAUCCAAGGAAGGCAGCAGGCGCGCAAAUUACCCAAUCCCGACACGGGGAGGUAGUGACAAUAAAUACCGAUAUAGGGCUCUUUUGGGUCUUAUAAUUGGAAUGAGUACAAUUUAAAUCCCUUAACGAGGAACAAUUGGAGGGCAAGUCUGGUGCCAGCAGCCGCGGUAAUUCCAGCUCCAAUAGCGUAUAUUAAAGUUGUUGUGGUUAAAAAGCCCGUAGUUGAACCUUGGGCCUGGCUGGCCGGUCCGCCUCACCGCGUGCACUGGUCCGGCCGGGCCUUUCCCCCCGCGGAACCCCAUGCCCUUCGCUGGGCGUGGCGGGGAAACGGGACGUUUACUUUGAAAAAAUUAGAGUGCUCCAGGCAGGCCUAUGCUCGAAUACAUUAGCAUGGAAUAAUGAAAUAGGACGCGCGGUUCUAUUUUGUUGGUUUCUAGGACCGCCGUAAUGAUUGAUAGGGACAGUCGGGGGCGUCAGUAUUCAACCGUCAGAGGUGAAAUUCUUGGACCGGUUGAAGACUAACUACUGCGAAAGCAUUCGCCAAGGAUGUUUUCAUUAAUCAGGGACGAAAGCUAGGGGAUCGAAGACGAUCAGAUACCGUCGUAGUCUUAGCCAUAAACUAUGCCGACUAGGGAUCGGGCGAUGUUAUUCUUUGACUCGCUCGGCACCUUACGA